GCCUCGGUGGUGUAGCGGUAGCACGCGCCCUUGUGACGGGUUUAACGUGGGUUCAGUCCCGCCUGGGGUU